rnacentral:rRNA from 1 species
GAUCAUUAAAAAAAAUACGCCUGUUCUCUUCGUGGAGUUCAGGAUAGUAUAUAAUCACCUGUUUACCAUUACCUGUUGCUUCCGUGGAGUUACGGGUGCUCUUCCUGUUCGCAGGCUUGAGUUACCUUCCACGAGUAUACUUUAAAAACUUGUUUUGUAUUAUUGUCUGAUUUAAUAUUUUAAUUAAAGUUAAAACUUUCAACAACGGAUCUCUAGGUUCUCGCAUCGAUGAAGAACGCAGCGAAAUGCGAUAAGUAGUGUGAAUUGCAGAUUUCAGUGAAUCAUCGAAUCUUUGAACGCACAUUGCGCCCUUUGGUAUUCCGAAGGGCAUGCCUGUCUGAGCGUCAAUAAAUACUCAAACUUUGGUUUGGUAUUGGGAGAAGAGGUUUUACCUCUCUCCUGUAAGCUAUUGGCGACGCUAUUUCAGCUUGUAAGACGUAGUAAGUAAUUCCUCGUUUAAACAACUGGUAUAGAUGUCUGCCUAAUGAAAUAUUUAUAUUUUAGCUUGACCUCAGAUCAGGUAGGGAUACCCCCUGAACUUAAGCAUAUCAAUAAGGGGAGGAAAAGAAACCAACAGGGAUUGCCUCAGUAACGGCGAGUGAAGCGGCAAAAGCUCAAAUUUGAAAUCUGGCGUCUUCGGCGUCCGAGUUGUAAUUUGUAGAGGUAGCUUUGGGUAUACAGCCAGGUCUAUGUUCCUUGGAACAGGACGUCAUGGAGGGUGAGAAUCCCGUAAAUGGCUUGGCCAGUGCCUAUGUAUAGCGCCUUCGACGAGUCGAGUUGUUUGGGAAUGCAGCUCUAAGUGGGUGGUAAAUUCCAUCUAAAGCUAAAUACUGGCGAGAGACCGAUAGCGCACAAGUAGAGUGAUCGAAAGGUGAAAAGCACUCCGGAAGGAGAGUUAAACAGCACGUGAAAUUGUUGAAAGGGAAGCGCUUGAGACCAGACUCAGGUAACGUUGAUCAACCUCCAUUCUUGGUGGUGCACUCUUCGUUGCUUGGGCCAGCAACAGUUUUGACGGUGGUAUAAAGGUUUAGGGAAUGUGGCUCUCUUCGGGGAGUGUUAUAGCCCUGUUCGUAAUGCUGCCUGUUGAGACUGAGGACCGCGCU